rnacentral:rRNA from 1 species
UGCUUGAGAGUGGCGAACGGGUGAGUAGUAUAUCGGAACGUGCCCAGUCGUGGGGGAUAACGUAGAGAAAUUUACGCUAAUACCGCAUACGAUCUAAGGAUGAAAGCGGGGGACUUCGCAAGAGGCCUCGCGCGAUUGGAGCGGCUGAUAUCAGAUUAGGUUGUUGGUGAGGUAAAAGCUCACCAAGCCGACGAUCUGUAGCUGGUUUGAGAGAACGACCAGCCACACUGGGACUGAGACACGGCCCAGACUCCUACGGGAGGCAGCAGUGGGGAAUUUUGGACAAUGGGCGAAAGCCUGAUCCAGCAAUGCCGCGUGUGGGAAGAAGGCCUUCGGGUUGUAAACCACUUUUGUACGGAACGAAACGCUUCGCUUUAAUACAGUGGGGUAAUGACGGUACCGUAAGAAUAAGCACCGGCUAACUACGUGCCAGCAGCCGCGGUAAUACGUAGGGUGCGAGCGUUAAUCGGAAUUACUGGGCGUAAAGCGUGCGCAGGCGGUUAUAUAAGACAGUUGUGAAAUCCCCGGGCUCAACCUGGGAAUUGUAUCUGUGACUGUAUAGCUAGAGUACGGUAGAGGGGGAUGGAAUUCCGCGUGUAGCAGUGAAAUGCGUAGAUAUGCGGAGGAACACCGAUGGCGAAGGCAAUCCCCUGGACCUGUACUGACGCUCAUGCACGAAAGCGUG